rnacentral:rRNA from 1 species
UACAGAGGAGCCAAGCGUUGUCCGGAUUGACUGGGCGUAAAGCGCACGCAGGCGAACGCGCGCGUGGGGUGUGAAAUCUGGCCGCUUAACGGCCAGGCGCCAUCCCAUACGGCGCGUCUGGAGCAAUGCAGAGGUCGAUGGAAUUGCCGGUGUAGUGGUGAAAUGCGUAGAGAUCGGCAGGAACACCCAGGGGGAAACCAGUCGACUGGGCAUCUACUGACGCUGAGGUGCGAGAGCGUGGGGAGCGAACCGG